AGCAGCAGCCGCGGUAAUACGAAGGGGGCUAGCGUUGUUCGGAAUUACUGGGCGUAAAGCGCACGUAGGCGGACAUUUAAGUCAGGGGUGAAAUCCCGGGGCUCAACCCCGGAACUGCCUUUGAUACUGGGUGUCUAGAGUAUGGAAGAGGUGAGUGGAAUUCCGAGUGUAGAGGUGAAAUUCGUAGAUAUUCGGAGGAACACCAGUGGCGAAGGCGGCUCACUGGUCCAUUACUGACGCUGAGGUGCGAAAGCGUGGGGAGCAAACAGGAUUAGAUACCCGCGUAGUCCCUGUCUCUUAUAC
rnacentral:rRNA from 1 species